GAUGAACGCUGGCGGCGUGCCUAAUACAUGCAAGUCGAGCGAACGGACGAGAAGCUUGCUUCUCUGAUGUUAGCGGCGGACGGGUGAGUAACACGUGGAUAACCUACCUAUAAGACUGGGAUAAAUUCGGGAAACCGGAGCUAAUACCGGAUAAUAUUUUGAACCGCAUGGUUCAAAAGUGAAAGACGGUCUUGAUGUCACUUAUAGAUGGAUCUGCGCUGCAUUAGCUAGUUGGUAAGGUAACGGCUUACCAAGGCAACGAUGCAUAGCCGACCUGAGAGGGUGAUCGGCCACACUGGAACUGAGACACGGUCCAGACUCCGACGGGAGGCAGCAGUAGGGAAUCUUCCGCAAUGGGCGAAAGCCUGACGUAGCAACGCCGCGUGAGUGAUGAAGGUCUUCGGAUCGUAAAACUCUGUUAUUAGGGAAGAACAUAUGUGUAAGUAACUGUGCACAUCUUGACGGUACCUAAGCAGAAAGCCACGGCUAACUACGUG
rnacentral:rRNA from 1 species